rnacentral:piRNA from 1 species
UGCGAGCAGUGAGCAGAAUCCAUGUCGAA